UUCACCUUUUCGUAUUCUUCUCUCAACUCCAGGAUUGUGCUUUGGAGGUUGUGAAGGUGGUGCAUCCUUUCCUCUUUUUCAUCUUUCACUGAUGCAUACCUCACCUUCAUCUCUUGUUCAUCGCGAAGUUUCUCGGUCAAAUCCUGCUGCUGUCGUUCUUGGUUAGCGAUGAGUUGGCUCAAGGUUUGAUUCUCCUCCUGCAUUGUUUGAAUUUCCUUUUCCAAGUCGUUUUGCCUGGAGAUUUUCUGCUGGAGGUCCUGAACCGUUUGCUGCAGCUUCUUCCAUCGCCGGCUCACGAGUUUGUUUACGUUCAGUUUAAUCUUGUAUUCAUUCUCCAAAACUUGAUGGUCCUUCAUUUGCCCCUGUGCUCCAACAAUUUCUUGCUCGAGCCUGUGGUUGUUUUGGAUUAUGAUUUCCUUUUCUUUUUCAGCAGCCUGACAGUUUUCGUCCAAUUCUUUCUGGCGCUUGAGUUUACUCUGCAGGUUGCGUGAUUUCUUGCGAAGAUCUUCGUUUAAGUCACUCAUUGCUUUUUUCACAGCUUUAAGCCACUUAUAUCUCCCUUCAAGGUCUCGACCACGAGACUGUCCUCUGCGGUCGUCUUCUCGUUGAUCCAAGAACAUAUUGUGCAGCUCUGAGGCGUCUAUUUCCUCAGGAGCUACACAAAUGUUGUCGAGAAGAUUUUCCUUGUCCUCUUUACGUUUCAGCCACCGAUCCAUCUUAUCUUAAUUUGUCGUCUCUCUAUAUAAAAAUGAAAAAUAUCUAGAACUGAAUGAUAAUAGAUAGAUAGAAUAGCAGAGCAUGAGAAGUCAUAGCUGUUGAUGUGCUUUGAUCUGUGAAAGAGCAAGGGACGUCACAGUUCAAAGACAUUUCUUUGCUCCGCCCACAAAUCAGAUUGGGAAAAAAACCCUCCAGGUAGCCAUAGCAACAGAUAGCGCAGCCAAUCACUUCCGGUUUCCGCUCCAGUACGAAAAUAAACCCGGCAACGGGAGCGGGCCGCAGUGUUCACGUCUGAAGCCGCUUCAAGUGUCCCGGUCCGCUUCUGCUGCUCUCAAGUUUCACCCGCCGUCAUAAAGAGGCAACAGCCUGAAUCUCCAGCUGUACCCCCGGGGGGCCUCCACAGAUGAACCAGGACUGUGAAGCUGCAUCCCUGGUAGUGAAGCCUCCCUCACUGCUUUCAGCCACUCAGGGGACCCUUUUCACUGUGUCAACAUCUACAGCGUCAAGGUGCUCGGAAGGAAGCUCUUCCCCUCUUUUCAGCCGCCUGCUGUUUACUCUGGGUGUGGAUGAGCGCAGUGUCCCAGGGAUGGACCGAGUGGACAGCCUGG